UGGGGAAUCUUGGACAAUGGGCGCAAGCCUGAUCCAGCCAUGCCGCGUGCAGGAUGAAGGCCCUCGGGUUGUAAACUGCGGUAGUAGGGGAGGAACGCAAGUGACUGUACCCUACGGAAAGUGGUUGGUAACUACGUGCCAGCACCAGCGGUAAUACGUAGACCACAAGCGUUAUCCGGAUUUAUUGGGCGUAAAGAGCAUGUAGGAGGUCCGGUGCGUCUCUGGUUAAAGCCCACCGCCUAACGGUGGAAGUGCCAGAGAUACGAUCGGACUGGAGGAUGUGAGAGGUGCAUGGAACUCACGGUGUAGGGGUGAAAUCCGUUGAUAUCGUGGGGAACACCAAAGGCGAAGGCAGUGCACUGGUACAUUCCUGACUCUGAGAUGCGAAAGCGUGGGGAGCAAAAAGGAUUAGAUACCCGGGUAGUCCCUGAGCGGGCUGGCAAGGCGCAU
rnacentral:rRNA from 1 species